CCUACGGGAGGCAGCAGUGAGGAAUAUUGGUCAAUGGGCGGAAGCCUGAACCAGCCAAGUAGCGUGCAGGAUGACGGCCCUACGGGUUGUAAACUGCUUUUAUACGGGAAUAACGCGCCUUACGUGUAGGGCUUUGCAUGUACCGUAUGAAUAAGGACCGGCUAAUUCCGUGCCAGCAGCCGCGGUAAUACGGAAGGUCCGGGCGUUAUCCGGAUUUAUUGGGUUUAAAGGGAGCGUAGGCCGCAUGUCAAGCGUGCUGUGAAAUGUCCGGGCUCAACCCCGGCGAGCCGUUGAAACUGGCGGGCUGGAGUUGGAGAGAAGUACGCGGAAUGCGCGGUGUAGCGGUGAAAUGCUUAGAUAUCGCGCAGAACCCCGAUUGCGAAGGCAGCGUACCGGCUCCACACUGACGCUGAGGCACGAAAGCGUGGGUAUCGAACAGGAGUAGAGACCCCUGUAGUC
rnacentral:rRNA from 1 species